rnacentral:rRNA from 1 species
UACGAAGGGGACUAGCGUUGUUCGGAUUUACUGGGCGUAAAGCGCGCGUAGGCGGAUCGCUAAGUCAGGGGUGAAAUCCCGAGGCUCAACCUCGGAACUGCCUUUGAUACUGACGAUCUGGAGAUCGGGAGAGGUUGGUGGAAUUCCGAGUGUAGAGGUGAAAUUCGUAGAUAUUCGGAGGAACACCAGAAGCGAAGGCGGCCAACUGGCCCGAUACUGACGCUGAGGCGCGAAAGCGUGGGGAGCAAACAGG